rnacentral:rRNA from 1 species
AAAGCUCGUAGUUGGAUUUGUGGUGUACUUCGGCGGCCCGUCACUAUGUGAUGGAGCUUGCUGAAGUCGCCAUCCUUGGGUGGAUCCUGUGUGGCAUUAAGUUGUCGUGCAGGGGAUGCCCAUCGUUUACUGUGAAAAAAUUAGAGUGUUCAAAGCAGGCUUAUGCCGUUGAAUAUAUUAGCAUGGAAUAAUAAGAUAGGACCUUGGUACUAUUUUGUUGGUUUGCGCACCAAGGUAAUGAUUAAUAGGGACAGUUGGGGGUAUUCGUAUUUCAUUGUCAGAGGUGAAAUUCUUGGAUUUUUGAAAGACGAACUACUGCGAAAGCAUUUACCAAGGAUGUUUUCAUUAAUCAAGAACGAAAGUUAGGGGAUCGAAGAUGAUUAGAUACCAUCGUAGUCUUAACCAUAAACUAUGCCGACAAGGGAUUGGUGGAGUUUCGUUAUGUCUCCAUCAGC